CGCGCCACGCACGGCGAGCUAAGCUAUAAUAUAUAUUACAGAUUUAUUCGCGCUGCAUAUCCCGAACGUAUCCUGAUUUUUCCCAGGAUAUAAGUUUUGUUGGUGGAGACAUUGACCCAAAUUUACUAUGUAUGUCUUUGUACUCACUAAUAAUGCUCAAAAAAUUACGGGAUCUGGAUUGUAAUGCAUUUUUUUUAUAAUUCUCAUAUCAUAGUUGCGCGUGAAGUUAGGCGUAUUGAUGACAGUUGAUUUUCAGUUCACCAACGGCAGGCGAGUCUUUGCGAAUAUCCUAUGUAUAUCUCGAAUAUGCCUACCCGAGCGAUAUGGGAGCGAUAUAUUUUUGCAAAUAUUUUGACGCGAUGGCAGCGCCAUGUGGUAGAAUGAAGAAAUAUUAAUGAAAGCAGUCGUGUUGACGGAUGUCAUUGUCAUUUCAUCCAAGAAUGCAAGGAAAAAAAUUUUUAAUUUCAAUUUCAAUGUAUAAUUUUUAUUUUCGCCUAAUUUUUCAGGGAUCAAAAGACGCAAACAAAACAUCUCUAUACGUAUAUUCAAAGAAUAAUUUGUAUUAAGCAAACCUUAGUCAAUACAGGUGAUUCUGGAUAUGCUCUAAGUCAGUUGAUGUUGACAUCCAUCCAAAAUGCAUUACCUGCUACUCUAGAAGAAAUAUUCAUCACAGAAGAACUGAAUCCCCUAUAGAGAGAUGCAAUGGGAUUUUAAAAUGGAGGCAUAGAAUUUUACACUCCAACCAUGGCUGAAUAAAAUAAAUAAUAAUGCAUGCACUGUGCUGCACAAUUUGUGCAUUGGUAUGCAUAAUGUACCCCCUAUUGGUUUAGGUGAUGAAGAAAACAAUCAUAUAGAUAUUGAUUAUGGAAAUGUCAAUGGAAUAAAUAUAGAAGGUAGAAUUCGUGAUAGAGAUCUGCUCACAGGAAGAAGACUCCAACAAAUGCUAAUUCAAAUUAAUUUUAGAAAUUAAUUCAAUAAGUUUGGAAAAAUGUAUGUUCUGUGUUAUUUGUACUUUAUGUAAAUAUUGUUCUGAAGCUAUUU